rnacentral:lncRNA from 1 species
AAGAUAUUAAAGGUAUUUAUAAAGUGAAAAAUUGAGCUUAUACUGGUAUUCAAAGUCAAAUUCUCCUUUGUCUUCACUUUAUAGGGUAGGAAUUGGGGAAUUUGUUUUUAGCAGUGUUUUAGUUUUUCUCUUGAACUCUCAUUUUCAAGUGUUUAUAUUCAUUCCAUUCUUGCUAGUUCUUAUUUUCCUUCUAAUUUUCUUUUCUCCUGGUUGUAAAGUUGGAUUUUAGUUUACAACUAAAGUUAUUCCCAGGAGCUGUGAAAAUGUCCCAC